AACGUUGGCGGCGUGGAUUAGGCAUGCAAGUCGAGCGAGAAGUUUACUUCGGUAAAUGGACAGCGGCGAAAGGGACAGUAAUGUGUAGGUACCUACCCCCCGAUCUGGGAUAGCUGCGGGAAACUGCAGGUAAUACCGGAUAAUGUCUUCGGACCAAAGGUGUGAUUCCGUCAGGGGAGGGGCCUGCAUCCUAUUAGCUUGUUGGUGAGGUAAUGGCUCACCAAGGCAACGAUGGGUAGCGGGUGUGAGAGCAUGACCCGCGUCAUUGGGACUGAGACACUGCCCAGACAUCUACGGAUGGCUGCAGUCGAGAAUCUUCGGCAAUGGGCGAAAGCCUGACCGAGCGACGCCGCGUGCGGGAUGAAGGCCCUCGGGUUGUAAACCGCUGUCGUUGGGGAGGAAAUGCAAAAGGGUUAUCCCUUCUGUUUGACCGAUCCAAGGAGGAAGUACGGG
rnacentral:rRNA from 1 species